AAUCCUUCCUUUAGAAAUUGAAAGAGGAGGAGAGGAGGAGAGACCCACAGUUGAUCUCUGAGAAGUGAGUAGCUGGAGGCACCAGGAUACCAGCCAAGCCUAAAGGAUAAAGCAAAUCCCUGGACAUGGCUUUUGAUUCCAAGCUAAGAAGUGCAAGAAGCUCUUCCAAAUACAACUGCAACUGCCAAGAGAUUGAUGGACCAGAGAAUGGCCUCUUCAUUCCAGGCACUUCUAAAGUCCAAGUGGUCAAAUACCAGCCUCUUUUUACCAAUGUUCCCACCUGUUUCAUUCAGCCAAAUUUCAUUAGAUGAAGGUUUGAAUGGUGAAGAAAUGAUGGACGCUGUUUGUCUCAAACAAGGACUCUAAUGAUACAACAGAACAAGUCACAAGAAAGCUUGCCUGGAAAACCAUACACUGGCCUCUUCGUGGUGAAGUCCUUCACAAUCCUUACAAACAUAGAAAAUAUUCAGCAAUUCGUUUGUUUGUUUUCCAGUCCACUCUUACUUGAGAAAAAUGCAAAACAUCAAAGACACAGAAAAACCACCAGUCUAUACAGCUUGCCCAUACUAAAUUGUUAUUCAUUUCAGAAGAGUGUACAGUUUCUUUCUGUAAGACUCUAUUAAACCAGUUACUCUACAAUAGCAAACAUUUUAGGCAAACCUAACCAUUGCUUCCCAUAAAGAUAUUUAUAUCUUUAAGUGGUAUCUGAUUCAUCCCUAAGAAAUAUGUUAUCAAGAUGUUUGUUUGUUUGUUUGUUUGUUCAUUUGUUUUUGAGAUGGAGUUUCACUCUUGUUGCCCAGGCUGGAGUGCAGUGGCAUGAUCUCGGUUCACUGCAACCUCUGCCUCCCGGUUCAAGCGAUUCUCCUGCCUCAGCCUCCCGAGUAGCUGGGAUUACUGGCACCCACCACCACUCCCAGCUAAUUUUUUGUAUUUUUAAUAGAGACGGGGUUUCACCAUGUUGGCCAGGCUGGUCUCAAACUCCUGACCUCAGGUGAUCCACUUGCCUCGACCUCCCAAAGUGCUGGGAUAACAGGCAUGAGCCAUUGCACCCGGCCGAAGAUUUUUGUUUUGACUGUUUUUUUCUGAACUACAGGGAAACGAAGGCUUUUAUGUUAUUGUCCCCCUUUUCUCACUAACUGGACUUCCUGUGACACGUGAAGACGCUAUGCAUGUUUAAUAAAUACACUUUGAAUUUAAUGCUCAAGGAAGAUAAGAUUUUCCGUCUUAAUUCAAUCUAUCUGUCUUGAUCUAGGGUGUUAAUUAGAGUACUGCUUCUGUGGGACAUUAAGAGGAAGAAUGUUAUUAAAAGGGAGAAAAGAUAAUUCCAUGGUCAAAUAGAUUUGAGGAAACUUGAGUUACUCAACUUUAUCAAGUUUCUUUCCUACAGGAUUUUUUUCAGUCCUUAAUAUACAAACGUGCAUAUUGACUCUCCUAAAACUAUUGUCUGUAAUAUAGCUCAGUCUAUUUUCUUCUACUCAGAAUAUUUUGUGCAAUACUUAUCUAGAGUAGUGUUACAUAGAGCCACACUUUGGGAACUGUGUUAGUCUAGAUUUACCACAAACCCCAUCUUCUCACUCAUUUAUUCCAUUAAUAAACUCAUAUGAUUAUCAA
ensembl:lncRNA novel transcript